UGUGACUUCGUGUAUAUAUACAUACAUUCAGCAAAACAAUUAAAGCGUUAUUGUUUUGCGGUAUUUGACACAUGAAGCAAAUUCGUCGAAUCAAGCUAAUGAUCAAACACAUUGGACUGCUGCUUACAUCAGCAAUUGCAAUACCAUUAUUAUGUUUGCUGGCUACAGCAAAUAAUUCUCCUGGCACUAUUUACAAAUUUCUAUAAAGAGAACAUUUUUAACAAACUUUAGAAAAUAACUGCUCGAAUUCACGUGAUGGAAAUUGAAGAUAUUGGUGACUUACGAGAUUUUGUGACGAUUUAUAAGAAAGAUUAUCUUGGAAAAAGAACGACAAAGCACAAAUUAUUACCAAAAUAUUUGCCAUCCUGGAACAUCUUGAAUAGACCGUACAAACAAUAUUUGUACACACGACUGGAAAAUCGAUUAUUACCUGAGAACGAACGAAGCGAAGAUCCAGUUGACAAUUUAAACAGAGUAAAAGUGCAAAUAUUUUUAUAUUCGUGAUUGCAUGCUAUCAUAAUUGUAUAUCAUUGAAAAUAGAUACGAGACAAAUUUCCCCACUUAAGAAAUGCUUUACCGGAAAUCGUGCCAGAUGAAAUCGUAAUAGAAAACAUCAAGGAAAAAUCAAGAAGAACUACAUAUCAACAGGAUUAUUUCAAGGAAUUUCGAAAGGGUUUACUUAUAAUCAUUAUAUCUGUAUACAUGUAAACGUAUAUGACACACGCAUGCAUGCACUUUACGAACAGAUAAAAGGACCAUUAAGUUGGAAACGGUAGCAGAUAAGAUGCUACAAAUAUGCAGCAAAAUAUCACAAUUAUUUUGUUUUCUCUUGAUAAAACCUACAAACAGAUUGGAAGCUUCUGAUUGAUCAGUUGGAAAAAAAGACUUUUACUGACCAAAAAUAUUUCGAAGCGUUUGUAACAUCAAGUAGACCAUAGGCCAGUAUCUUAUUGGAAAAACAAACCUAACAUCUACAUCCGUGCACAAGCCCCUUUUGUCGUCCUUUUGUAUGUGUGUAUGCGUGUGCGUGCGCGUACGCGCGUAUACAGUUGUACAUCUUAUAAACAUGAAUAUGCCUUAUGGCUGUAAUCAGGGGGUUGAUUGAAAUAAGAUGAAAAUUACAAAAAUCAUCGUCGCAGGGAAAUAACAUUGCCGCAAAAUUGGAUUAUACCCGAAACAAUUCAAAAACGUGCAUAUCGAAAUCCCUGGAUAAUCGCAACAAAAGCAUUAAUAAAACCACCAAAAAUUUUAAAAUCGCCCAAUAAUUUGGAUCCUAAUUUUAAAGAAAGAGAAAUUCUUCGAGUGACAACCGGAAAUUCCGAAUAUAUGGGCACGAUCGGGAUUGCAGGAGAAAACAUCAUGUUACGAAGCCGGCCAUCAAAUAUGAG